GCAGUCGAGCGGACAGAUGGGAGCUUGCUCCCUGAUGUUAGCGGCGGACGGGUGAGUAACACGUGGGUAACCUGCCUGUAAGACUGGGAUAACUCCGGGAAACCGGGGCUAAUACCGGAUGCUUGUUUGAACCGCAUGGUUCAAACAUAAAAGGUGGCUUCGGCUACCACUUACAGAUGGACCCGCGGCGCAUUAGCUAGUUGGUGAGGUAAUGGCUCACCAAGGCGACGAUGCGUAGCCGACCUGAGAGGGUGAUCGGCCACACUGGGACUGAGACACGGCCCAGACUCCUACGGGAGGCAGCAGUAGGGAAUCUUCCGCAAUGGACGAAAGUCUGACGGAGCAACGCCGCGUGAGUGAUGAAGGUUUUCGGAUCGUAAAGCUCUGUUGUUAGGGAAGAACAAGUACCGUUCGAAUAGGGCGGUACCUUGACGGUACCUAACCAGAAAGCCACGGCUAACUACGUGCCAGCAGCCGCGGUAAUACGUAGGUGGCAAGCGUUGUCCGGAAUUAUUGGGCGUAAAGGGCUCGCAGGCGGUUUCUUAAGUCUGAUGUGAAAGCCCCCGGCUCAACCGGGGAGGGUCAUUGGAAACUGGGGAACUUGAGUGCAGAAGAGGAGAGUGGAAUUCCACGUGUAGCGGUGAAAUGCGUAGAGAUGUGGAGGAACACCAGUGGCGAAGGCGACUCUCUGGUCUGUAACUGACGCUGAGGAGCGAAAGCGUGGGGAGCGAACAGGAUUAGAUACCCUGGUAGUCCACGCCGUAAACGAUGAGUGCUAAGUGUUAGGGGGUUUCCGCCCCUUAAUGCUGCAGCUAACGCAUUAAGCACUCCGCCUGGGGAGUACGGUCGCAAGACUGAAACUCAAAGGAAUUGACGGGGGCCCGCACAAGCGGUGGAGCAUGUGGUUUAAUUCGAAGCAACGCGAAGAACCUUACCAGGUCUUGACAUCCUCUGACAAUCCUAGAGAUAGGACGUCCCCUUCGGGGGCAGAUUGACAGGUGGUGCAUGGUUGUCGUCAGCUCCUGUCCUGAAAAUGUUGGGUUAAAUCCCGCAACAAAAGCCACCCUUGAACUUAUUUGCCACCAUUCAAUUGGGGACUCUUAAGGGGAUUGCCGCGGACAAACCGCAGGAGAGAGGGGGAGAAACCCCAAACCUCCUGCCCCCUUAUAACACGCGGGUACACAAGGGGUUAAAAAGGAGAAAAAAAAAGGGGCCCAAAACCCCGAGGUUAACCAAUCCCCCAAAUUUGUUUCUAUUUUGGAAUCCAUUCGCCACUCCACUGCGGGAAGCUGGAAUCCUUAAAAUCCCGGUACCCAUGCCCCGGGGGAUAAUUUCCCGGCCUUGCAACCCCCCUGCCACCACGAAAUUGAAACC
rnacentral:rRNA from 1 species